rnacentral:lncRNA from 1 species
AAAGAGUUGAGCUAAAGGCCCAAAAAAAAACUUGUGGGCUUGGAGAUGUAUAUUAAAAGAAGUGAACCAAGCCUUGGUCUAAAUCAAGGGCACUCCAAGGCCUCACAACCAAUGAGAAGCUCAGCCCAAGGAGAUUGCACCAAAGGGAAGAAGCCUAAGCUGUAACGUGGACUUUGAGGCUCAUUGGGCGCACACGUUAAGGCACACAUGUGCAGGACGAGCAGGUCGUAUCCAAGCCACACCUGUACAUAUGGAAGCAUGUUCACCGCGUGGGAAGAGCAGUGUCACAAGCUAAAGUCGAGAGCUUAUGCGAGAGAAGGGAGACACACAUGCGGGCAGUCGUGUACAUGAGAAGCCACACACUUGUAGGCUAUGCGUAUAUAGGAAAGCUUGCCCACGUGGGUGAAGCAUGCAGACAAGGGAAGUUGGUGUCCAAAAAGGAAUCCCUUCCCUUUUCUUUUUUACCAUGUGAUUCCUAUGUUGAAAAUCAAGACGAAUUCUACUCAAAUUUGGAAUUCAAAAGAAGAUAAAGGCACAUGGAAUUCGGCU